GGCACAGUAGCGCAGUGGUUAGCAUUGCUGCCUCACAGCAAGAAGGUCAUGGGUUCAAAUCCAGCCUGGGGCC